rnacentral:tRNA from 1 species
GCGGAUGUGGCGAAAUUGGCAGACGCACCAGACUUAGGAUCUGGCGCCGCGAGGCGUGUAGGUUCGACUCCUAUCAUCCGCACCC